UGCUGUAUAUGUCGAUGACUCUAAUUUAACUUGAUAAGAUGGUGUCCAGUGGUCAUGUGACCUUUUGCCUUUUCUGUAUGGACAGACUCUGAUUAAUGUCUGAACGUGUAUGGGAAGUUACCUAAUAGGUAAGCAGCCUUCCCAGGUUUUCUGGUCUCACGGAGACAGAAGUGCAAAUUAGGAUAUUUGGAGGCUAUUCAUAUCUGAAAAUUGAUGGGUUCAUAAAAUAUUGUUCACUGUGUCAUGAUUGCUUAGCCUUUCAAAUUAUUUGUGUGGACAAUGGGAACAUUGAUAUGGUGGUCACAUGACAGAAACUGGUUUACAGUAGGAAUCACCUUUUAAUAACCAGGGCAGUCCAGGGAGUCCUCUGAAACUAAGACCAUGGCAAGAAACAUUUGCGCUCAGGAAAGGAAGAACCUUACAAGGAAAUUACAUGGAACCCAAACAUGGACAAAAAGAGAAGUAUUGGUCUUAACCUGCAGACUGCAUCUUUAUUACAUGGGUUUAGUCACAACUUCAACUGGAAAAUGCAGAAAUCUGGUGUUGCAUGACGUUAGCCACUGUCAGUUUAUUGCCAGAAAUCUCUAAUCUCUAUUGUCUUCAGUGAACCAAAAAAGAAUGCUCAGACCCAGAACAGUUCCAUUUUGAGAAUGCGCAGUAAAAUUGACUUUUUGGACUCUUGGUAAUCUAAGUGUAUGUUAUGUAUUUUGUAAACACUUUUUCUUGUGUGUGUGCAUCUUGUGUGGAUUACUGAGUGGGUGCUGUCUGAUUUACAUUUUGUUUGUUGAGAAAAUAAAAGUUUAUUCAUUCUUUUAAUUUAAACCUCUGAGAAAGUCUGACAAGAACUACAACGACACUCAGGAAUGGGUGAAGCGAUGAAACCAAAGGAGGGGGGUAAAUGAAAUACAGACGGAAAUUCAGAGGUCACAGUUACAAGUUAAAAGGAAGGACCAGGUUAAAGUUAUUUGGAGUGAAAGUAUCUGUGUUCUCAAGAUUCUGCUGAGCUCAUCAGAAUUAUGCUGCUCUCACAAACCAAUUACUGACUCAUGGAAAGGGCAGAGAUACUAAACUGCAAAGAAUUAAAAGGAGAGUCCAGAUGUCUAACCAAUUAUCAGGAAACAGGCACCAACACUGGAAUGCUUUAAUGAAAGUGAGAUGUAAAGUAACAAGUGGAAGCCGCAAAAACAAAAGAGACCAUUCAGCUCCAGGUCUCAUUUCAGCGUGGCUCAGACAAGGACAAAAGAACUGAAUUCCACAGGACUAAAAGCCAACAAAUAUCCUGGACCUGAUGAUGGCCUGGAGUUAUCGAGAUAGUGAACCUUGAUCAGUUUAAUGUUCCAGACGUCCAUAGAUUUGUAGAAUGAUCCACGUGAAUUGAAGGUUAGCAAACCUAACAUGGCUAUUCAAAAAAAAUGGAGACACAAUUACAGAAUCCCUACCGUAUUGGAGUAGUUAUUUAGCCCGUCAAGUCUGAACCAACCCUCCGAACAGCAUCCCAACGCCCUCCCUUAUAACCCUACAUUUCCUGUGGCUAAUCCACCUAU